GCCAUCUGCUGGCGAAGAGAAGCCAUUGUAAUGCAGCAUGGCAAAUAUCUUAUUUACAUAAAUCAAUUUGGCUGGCAGUGGCAAAUUGUACUGCUCUUUUUGUCAGUGAGUGACAACACUAAUGUUCACCAAAUAAGUGAUUAGCAGCUAAAUUGAGAAUUAAAUAGUGCGUUGUUGCAUCUCUAACUAGAUCAAUAGAUGAAUGUUUACAGACUGGGCACGUGCAGCUAAUCCUAACUGCUCGAGGUAAGUAGGGCUCGAGACUGUCCGUUAACUAGUCAGCAGCAUUUUUUGAGAGACUAACUUUUGCUAGCUAACUUCAAAUUAUUGUUGAUAAACGGGCAUAGAAAUAAAAUGCCAGGUGCUGUUCAGUUCAAGGCUGUUUACGUGCCAAGUUUUGGAUCUCAAUCCUCACGAUGUAGUCAAAAAGAUGGACAGCAAACGAAUGAGUACUUGAUCGAGUUGUCCAGCUCAAGGAGAAGACAAGAUACAUUGUCAACAAAAAAGAUCAAAUUAACGAAGUGUAACAGCAAGCCUGCACUGUCCAAGAAGAAACGAAAGGAUGAGAGAAGGUCGAUGCCUCCACCACGACCCGUGAUAGAGACCGCUGCCCGAUGUCAAGGUGAAGGAGAGAGAUCACAGAGACGGAGAAGUCCUAGCGUUGGCCAAAGAUUCUCGUUCCUUCCUUGUUCCUCCAUGUCCGAUACAGGCACUCCUCAGAGCAUGAUGAAUGAAGACCUCUUCACCUUCUACCAGAGAGACGAGCACACGUCAACCAACCAACCUCAGUGGGCAGCCAGACAGGCUGUGUUAAGGACCAUCGGUAGGAUGCUGCAGGAGAACAGAAGCAUCAGAGAGAGACUGGUCUCCCUCAGCCAUAGCAUAGGCUAUACAUUGAACUCAGUCUGAAGACUAGAUUACAAUCUGGGAAUGAUACAUAGAUUAUGGAACUUCUCUUUCCCUCUCAAACUCAGGAAUGGAAUAUUUUUUAUUUGUUUCCCUUCAAUGUUAUGAUUUUGUUUUAACCAAGUUUAUGGACUACCUGGCAAAUGUGCUGAUUUGAGAUGGAAUGAAGAUGAGGUUAUUUAUGUUACCUGAAACUAAACCUGUACUGUACAUCUCGAGCAAUCUGUUCCUAUAGUUUCCUCUGGUUGAAGAAAUAGACUAAUAUACGUUGGUUUUGAUGGGGAACACACAGAUUUUUACUGUUGUCAACUAUUUUGACUGUUGUCAUGGGGAACAAAGAGUUCUGAAUUAAAACAACUUCUUGAGGAGAAAGUGUUGUUAAUUUCUGUUAUGUCUGGUGAGCUAUAACAGGUCAACCCACCCUCCUGGAGUGCUACUACUGGGUAUGAAGGCUGUUGCACCAGCCCUUCUUCCUCAUGGAGAACCUCACCUCUUUUUCCACUAGAGGGAAGUGUCUCUAUUUUGUGUGUGUGUGGGUGUGUUAGAUACUGUACACUCAGCCACCUAAAGGUAGAAUACACAGGUCAGCCACAGCUCAACUUUCUCAGUCAGAGGUUCUCAGUAGAGCCUGUGAGUGUCCAAAAUGGCACCUUAAUCCCUUUAUAGUGCACUACUUAUGAACAGAACCCUAUGUGUUUCUGUUCCCUGCUCAUUAUUAGUGAAUUAACAACCCACAGCCAACAUGUGGUUCUGUUUCCUGCUCCUUAUUAGUGAAUUAACAACCCACAGCCAACAUGUGGUUCUGUUUCCUGCUCCUUAUCAGUGAAUUAACAACCCACAGCCAACAUGUGUUUCUGUUUC
ensembl:lncRNA